AACCAGGGCUUGCCCUGGGGCAAAGCCGCGAACGGGUGAGUAACACGUGAGUAAUCUGCCCCGAUGACUGGGACAACCCGAGGAAACUCGGGCUAAUACCGGAUGAUGAGCCAGGGUUUAAGCCCUGUCUCUAAAGGAAGCUUCGGCCUCCGCAUUGGGAGGAGCUCGCGGCCCAUUAGCUUGUUGGUGAGGUAACGGCUCACCAAGGCGACGAUGGGUAGCUGGUCUGAGAGGACGAUCAGCUACACUGGGACUGAGACACGGCCCAGACUCCUACGGGAGGCAGCAGUGGGGAAUCUUGCGCAAUGCGCGAAAGCGUGACGCAGCAACGCCGCGUGGGGGAAGACGGCCUUAGGGUUGUAAACCCCUUUCAGGAGGGACGAAGGUUCACCGGUUAAUAGCCGUGUGGAUUGACGGUACCUCCACAAGAAGCACCGGCUAACUACGUGCCAGCAGCCGCGGUAAUACGUAGGGUGCAAGCGUUGUCCGGAAUCAUUGGGCGUAAAGCGCGCGUAGGUGGUCAUGUAAGUCCGCUGUGAAAGUCAAAGGCUCAACCUUUGAAAGCCGGUGGAUACUGCAUGACUAGAGUACGGAAGAGGCGAGUGGAAUUCCUGGUGUAGCGGUGGAAUGCGCAGAUAUCAGGAGGAACACCAAUAGCGAAGGCAGCUCGCUGGGACGUUACUGACACUGAGGCGCGAAAGCGUGGGGAGCGAACAGGAUUAGAUACCCUGGUAGUCCACGCCGUAAACGAUGGAUACUAGGUGUGGGAGGUGUCGACUCCUCCCGUGCCGUCGCUAACGCACUAAGUAUCCCGCCUGGGGAGUACGGCCGCAAGGCUAAAACUC
rnacentral:rRNA from 1 species